UACGUAGGCAGCAAGCGUUGUUCGGAGUUACUGGGCGUAAAGGGUGCGUAGGCGGUUGUUUUAAGUUUGGUGUGAAAUCUCCCGGCUCAACUGGGAGGGUGCGCCGAAUACUGAAUGACUAGAGUGCGGGAGAGGAGAGUGGAAUUCCCGGUGUAGCGGUGAAAUGCGCAGAUAUCGGGAGGAACACCGGUGGCGAAGGCGGUUCUCUGGGCCUUACCUGACGCUGGAGGAGCGAAAGCGUGGGGGAGCAAACAGG
rnacentral:rRNA from 1 species